rnacentral:rRNA from 1 species
UUUUGUUGGAGAGUUUGAUCCUGGCUCAGGACGAACGCUGGCGGCGUGCUUAACACAUGCAAGUCGAGCGGAAAGG